rnacentral:rRNA from 1 species
UAGGGAAUCUUCCGCAAUGGGCGAAAGCUUGACGGAGCAACGCCGCGUGAGUGAUGAAGGUCUUCGGAUCGUAAAACUCUGUUAUUAGGGAAGAACAAAUGUGUAAGUAACUAUGCACGUCUUGACGGUACCUAAUCAGAAAGCCACGGCUAACUACGUGCCAGCAGCCGCGGUAAUACGUAGGUGGCAAGCGUUAUCCGGAAUUAUUGGGCGUAAAACGCGCGUAGGCGGUUUUUUAAGUCUGAUGUGAAAGCCCACGGCUCAACCGUGGAGGGUCAUUGGAAACUGGAAAACUUGAGUGCAGAAGAGGAAAGUGGAAUUCCAUGUGUAGCGGUGAAAUGCGCAGAGAUAUGGAGGAACACCAGUGGCGAAGGCGACUUUCUGGUCUGUAACUGACGCUGAUGUGCGAAAGCGUGGGGAUCAAACAGG